UAGCUAUCAAACAGCGCCAAGUGUGCCUGCCCCACAUUCCAGCAAGAGCACCGUGAGCUUUUUGCUCCCGGGGCCGUUUAUGUCAAGGCAACACAUUUGAUGUGGACUCUUGAUUGGAUCAUGGCUUCCCCUGGUAAAAAAAAAAACGGUGGCCAACAUGGCGGAACGUCACUUGUGGUAUCAAAGUCGGGACAGUGAGCGGACCUCCAGGUCAAAGAACAGGAAGCAUUUGACCUGGCAAUUGAUCUUAAUGCGCCAAAGCGUGGCUGUGACGCAUCUGCUCGGAUCCAUCACAACAAGAGACUUUCCGUGGGUGAUCCCGAGGCUCUGGCGUUCAAAGCGCAGCAUCCCAGAAUAUGGCGUUUCUCUGUGUGCACAUGACAGUGAUGAUGAUUGAUGGAUUGACUGAAUCCGCAACUUCUGAGGUGAUGUCUUCCUGUGUCGCGCAGCUUCCCCCCC